rnacentral:rRNA from 1 species
GCUUAACCGAGGAGGGUCAUUGGAAACUGUCUUUCUUGAGUGGGAAAGAAGAGAGGAACUCCAUGUGUAGCGGUGGAAUGCGUAGAUAUAUGGAAGAACACCAGUGGGGAAGGCGGCUCUCUGGUCUGUAACUGACGCUGAGGCUCGAAAGCGUGGGGAGCGAACAGGAUUAGAUACCCUGGUAGUCCACGCCGUAAACGAUGAGUGCUAAGUGUUGGAAGGUUUCCGCCCCUUAGUGCUGCAGCUAACGCAUUAAGCACUCCCCCUGGGGAGUACGGCCGCAAGACUGAAACUCAAAGGAAUUGACGGGGGCCCGCACAACCGGUGGAGCAUGUGGUUUAAUUCUUAGCAACGCGAAGAACCUUACCAGGUCUUGACAUCUUCUGCCAACCCUAGAGAUUAGGCGUUCCCCUCUGGGACACAAAGACAGGUGGUGCAUGGUUGUCGUCGCUCGUGUCGUGAGAUGUUUGGUUAAGUCCCGCAACGAGCGCAACCCUUGAUAUUAGUUGCCAGCAUUCAUUUGGGUACUCUCACGAGACUGACUGUGACAAACCGGAACGAAGGUGGGGAUGACGUCCAUCAUCAUGCCCCUUAUGAUAUGAGCUACACUCGUGCUAUGAUGGGCAGGACAAAAA